rnacentral:lncRNA from 1 species
GUUUUAUUUUUCAGUGAAAUACGGAACCAUUCUGUAUUUUAUCUAACGGGUGGCUCCAUCAGUCUAAAUUGCUGUUACGUUGCACAACCUUCAAUGUUAUGUCACAAUUAUCUAAAAUUCUGGCAAAUCAGGCGGCCCAAACUGUUGCAUACCCUGACCUGUGUGCAAUGAACGCAAGAGAAGUGACACAAUUCCCUGGUUAAUAUUGCCGGCUAAAGAAUAUCUUUUAGCUAAAUAUGCAGGUUUAAAAAAUAUUACUUCUGUGUAUUGAUUUUAUUAGAGGCGUUUAUGUUUAUGGUUGGGUACAUUCGGUGCAAUGAUGUGUGUUUGUUAAAUUAUCCCCGUUUGGCAGGCUGUGACUCGAUGCUAAAUUAACAGGCAACGCAGGACAAGCUAGUUAACCUAGUAUAUCAUCAACCAGGUGUAGUUAACUAGUGAUUAUGUGAAGAUUGAUUUUUUUUUAAUGUGAUAAGUUUAAUGUUAGCUAGCAACUUACCUUGGCCCUUGCUGCACUCGCGUAACAGGUGGUCAGCCUGCCACUCAGUCUCCUCAUGGAAUUGAAUGUAAUCAUGGGCCAUAAUCAGCGUCCAGAAAUGCUGAAACGAUUUGUUAUGAAAACUUGAAAGUCGCCCUAAACCGGCCGACCUCUAGUUUGAACUGCAGAUGGCGCCUUUAACCCCCGCUACGUGUGCUGACAACAUUUAAGGCCAGUUUGAACUGCAGAUGGCGCCUUUAACCAGCGCUACGUUGCUGACAACAUUUAAGGCCAGUUUCCCGGACACCGAUUUAAGACUAGUUCUGCAUUUAAAUAGCAUGUUCAAUUGGGAAACCGAUUGUUGCUCCUUGGGGCUUUGUAUCAGGUGUCUCAGAGUAGGAAGCUGAUCAGGAUCAGGUCCCCCUGUCCAUAUAACCGUAUUUAUUGGGAUCUAAAAAGGGGGAAGCUGACCAUCAAUCAGCACUCCUACUUUAAGAUGCUUCAUCCAGACGGCCUUUGGACCAGGCUUAAUCUAUAUCUGCUUUAUACAGACGCCUUUGGACCAGGCUUAAUCUAUAUCCGGGAAACCAGACAGAUAUAUAUCUCUGUGGUUAAUCUAUAUCCGGGAAACCAGACAGAUAUAUAUCUCUGUGGUAAUCUAUAUCCGGGAAACCAGACAGAUAUAUUAUCUCUGUGGUUAAUCAAUACCGGGAAACCAGACAGAUAUAUUAUCUCUGUGGUUAAUCUAUAUUCAGGUUACCAGACAGAUAUAUUAUCUCUGUGGUUAAUCUCACUACUUUUGUCUCGCCUGUUAAAAGUAGUGGGAAUCAUGUGCUUGCAGCAUCAAUCAAAUUGCUCCGAAUACAACAGGAUCCACAGUGAAAUGCGGAAUACAACAGGAUCUCACAGUGAAAUGCUGAAUACAACAGAUCUCACAGUGAAGCGAAUCACAGGAUCAAGUGAAAUGCUGAAUCAACAGGAUCUCACAGUGAAAUGCUGA